AUGAAUCUCAGCUUGUUAGCUUCGUGGGCUAAGAGAUAUUUCAAUGAUGAUGGUAAAAUUUGGAAACAAAUCAUUGACGCCAAAUAUAAAACUUGCAAACCUAACAUUUUUGCUUGCCCUGAUAUUGGAGCUUCCCCCCUUUGGAAAGGCAUUCUUUGGGCUAUUAAAGCUGCAAAAAUUGGCUUUUCCUGGAAGGUGGGUAAUGGCAAGAGUAUUAGGUUUUGGGAAGAUAGGUGGACUGGCAAUGCUACACUUGCAACUAGUUAUUGGGGGUUGUAUAAUAUUGCCAAUACUACCAAUGUCUCCAUCAGUGAGGUGUGGGAUGGCGUGACUCUGAAAAUUAACUUUAGGAGGUGUUUUUCGUCGGACAUGCUUACUGCUUGGAAUGAGCUUUUUUGUAUAGUCAAGGAUCUGAGCUUAAAUGAUUGUGAGGACACUAUAUUUGGGAUCUAG
rnacentral:rRNA from 1 species